GCAAGUCGAGCGGUAGAGAGAAGCUUGCUUCUCUUGAGAGCGGCGGACGGGUGAGUAAUGCCUAGGAAUCUGCCUGGUAGUGGGGGAUAACGUUCGGAAACGGACGCUAAUACCGCAUACGUCCUACGGGAGAAAGCAGGGGACCUUCGGGCCUUGCGCUAUCAGAUGAGCCUAGGUCGGAUUAGCUAGUUGGUGAGGUAAUGGCUCACCAAGGCGACGAUCCGUAACUGGUCUGAGAGGAUGAUCAGUCACACUGGAACUGAGACACGGUCCAGACUCCUACGGGAGGCAGCAGUGGGGAAUAUUGGACAAUGGGCGAAAGCCUGAUCCAGCCAUGCCGCGUGUGUGAAGAAGGUCUUCGGAUUGUAAAGCACUUUAAGUUGGGAGGAAGGGUUGUAGAUUAAUACUCUGCAAUUUUGACGUUACCGACAGAAUAAGCACCGGCUAACUCUGUGCCAGCAGCCGCGGUAAUACAGAGGGUGCAAGCGUUAAUCGGAAUUACUGGGCGUAAAGCGCGCGUAGGUGGUUUGUUAAGUUGGAUGUGAAAUCCCCGGGCUCAACCUGGGAACUGCAUUCAAAACUGACUGACUAGAGUAUGGUAGAGGGUGGUGGAAUUUCCUGUGUAGCGGUGAAAUGCGUAGAUAUAGGAAGGAACACCAGUGGCGAAGGCGACCACCUGGACUAAUACUGACACUGAGGUGCGAAAGC
rnacentral:rRNA from 1 species